rnacentral:lncRNA from 1 species
AAAAAGAUAGAUCUGAUCAUAAACUCAAAGUUCAUCGGAUCCCAACAAACACACCGUAAAAAAGAGUUACAUCAUAUGGAUGUGACGCCCCGAUUCAAUCGUACACUAAUCAUACACGCAAAUGUGUACGAUCAAGAUCAAGGACUCACGGGAAGAUAUCACAACACAACUCUAGACACAAAUCAAAAUAAUACAAGCUUUACAUUACAAGCCAGGGGCCUCGAGGGCUCGAAUACAAGCUCGAUACACAAGAGUCAGCGGAAGCAACAAUAUCUGAGUACAGACAUAAGUUAAAAAAGUUCUGCCUUAAGAAGGCUAGCACAAAAGCAACACGAUCGAAGAGGCAAGGCCUCCUGCCUGGGACCUCCUGACUACUCCUAGUCUUCGGCGGCCUUCAUGUAGUAGUAUUCGUCGGCGGUGGCAUCUGGCUCCAAGGAUCCACCAUCUGGUUGCAUCAACCAGAAAGAAGAAGGAAGGGGGAAAAGGGGAGCAAAGCAACCGUGAGUACUCAUCCAAAGUACUCGCAAGCAUUAGAUCUAUACUAAGUAUGCACUGGUAUCAAAUGGAAGGUUUGUAUCUGUGGACUGAACUGCAGAAUGCCAGAAUAGAGGGGGAGGACCUAGCCUAUCGAAGACUAGCAUCUUCACGCAGCUCCGAGCAUCUUGCAGCAUGUAGAAGAGUAAAGAAUAGCAGUUUAUAAUUAACAAGCAUGUUGUAACAUUAAUGCCCAGAGAUCCUUCCUCGACUCCCUGCGAGAAAGCAAUCCCGGAGCCAUAUACCCAUCACAUAUCAAGUAUCCAUUUCUAGUUGUAUAAGAUCAGGAUACAAGUAUGAACGUCCAUUACCGAGGACACGGUAUUCGAAUAAAGAUCUUCCCUGCAGGGGUGCACCACGUUACCCAACACGCUUGAUCACUCUGGUCGGACACACCUUUCUGGGGUCAAUGCCCGCCCUCGGAAAAUCAACACGUCACAGCCUGACCUAGGCUCAGCAGAGAGGUCGCCGUCGGUCUACAUCCUACGCACUCCGGGGUCUUGGGCCCAUCGCCCGCAGCACUCCGGGUCGUUGCGAGCAGGGUGGAUACUAGCACCGCCUCGGAUGGCCAGCACGAUCCGACCGUGCCGCACUGCUGAACUAGACGUCUGACAAAGCUUCGGCUGAUACUGCGACGUCGAGGCCCAUAACUAUUCUCACGUGGUGGUUAGUGCGUAAAGGCCAAAGGCCAACUCAGAACAAAUACCCAAACCUGUUAGUGCAUUAUUAAAAGGAGUGACGCUGUCGGGACAAGUCCGGAGCUAUCACCCCCUCCCGGGUGAUACCGCUAAACAGCCAGCCGCCACUGUCACAUCGCACGGGUGCUCUCCGGGCCCGCCCGGCUUUCACAACGGUCUCCAGUAAAGUCAAGGUAACUGUGUGUCCAGACAUCAAGGGGAAAACCCGAGGAAUCACCCCCGGUGGAUUCCACUCAAUGUAAUCAUCAAGGUGAACGUAAGAGGGACCGCCCUCGAGGUUCACACUUGAGGUGUUGAACGACGGAGCCGUAUCGGGAAUGAUGAAAGAGGAAAUCACUCUCGAUGACCACGACCGAAUAGCUAGACUACAGAAUUGUCAUCAAGAGUGCGUUAUGAGGGAUCACCCUCGGCACUCGAUAGUAGCUCUGCAGAGUCGAGCAACUAAAGGGGCGUGAUGUGAUAUGAGGUGUCGGGCUCUGGUCGUCGAUCACGUCGAUCGAGGCGUCAAUGAUGAAGCAGGGGCAACAAGGACAAGUGGGGGUCACUGGUGGAUCACUAACCAACCUAUACUAAGCAGUUUAGGAUAAGCAGGUAAGGUACAAUGAGUAGGUUACAAAAAGCAGGUUAUGCAUCAGAAUAGGAGCAAUCAAUAACAGUAGCAAAAUCUAAUGCAAGCAUGAGAGUAUAGAAUGGGCGAUAUCGAGAUGAUCAAAGGGGGGGCUUGCCUGGUUGCUCAGACAAGAAGAAGGGGUCGUCGUCGACGUAGUCGAUCACAGCGGCAGUCUCGGGGUCUACAGGAGAGAAGAGGGGGAAGAAACAGUAAAUAGAUAGCAAGCAAGAGCAUAGCAGGACAACAGGCAGAGCUAGACGUGUUCUAACACGAUGCUACACGUUACCGGCGAAGGGGGAUAACAUCCGGGAAAGAUUUCCUGGUCCCGGACGUCUGUCAGACAGAUGAACCGGAGGGGAAAGUUUGCAGGUUUGUUAUGCUAAAGACGCGUGGCCGACGAAUGGACCGCGUAUCUGGAUUCGUCUCGAAAUUCUGAGCAACUUUCAUGUAUAAAACCUUUUCAUCCGCGUUACGGAUUAAUUUAUAUGAUUUUCCAAAUGUUUAAACAAUAUUCUAAAAUUAUUAUUAAUUCGGAAUAAAAGGUGAAAUUGCUAUGUGCACCUGGCAGAGUGUACACAACAGGGCCACUAGAGGCUGACAGUGGGUCCAGGGGGUCCCAGUUGACUCAGUCAACAAUGUAGUCAACAGUCAACAGUUUGACUGUUGACUGGUCAAAACUGUAGAUUUGGCCUAGGUGUCAUUCACACAUAUCUUGCAUUUUCUUUUUAAGUGGAUAUUUAGAGGGGGGUCCACCUGUCAUUUGCACUAUACCCAACCACUGAUUAGACUAACAAGUAGGAGUACUAAUUAGCUAACGGGAAGCCGGCCGGCCACCACACACACAGAAUACACACACGCACACACAGUUCUGUUUUCUGCUAACGAAAGAUAGCAUUUUGUGAUUUUCAUAGGAUUUAUUCCAUGCAUCAAAUGGAUUUGGUCCAGUGGACACAUUUAAACAUUGUCAAGUGUACUUUCUACUAAUAUUAUUUUUAGCCUUGUUUACAGUUGUUUAACCAAAGUUUAGGGGUUGUUUAGGGGGUUACUCAAUGUAAAAACUAAAAAGCUAGCUAGUAGCUACAGUUGCUAUCAUCAGUUAGCAUCAGUAGCAGUAGACGAGUAGCAAGCGGCAGCAGCAGUGGGCAACCAGAAGCAGUAGCCGCUGGUAGCAGCAGGCACGCACGCCGGCGCGUGCGCACGCGCAAGGCACGACCAGCGCGGGGAGCAGCCAGUAGCGCCGGGCGUGCAGGGGAGCGCGCGUGCUCGUAAUUGGAGGCGCGGGCGGACGAGCAGGGCUGUGGCCCGGGCGUAGUAGGGGAUCCGGGCGAGCGCGUUCCGGCGCGAGUGCGAGAUGACAGCGACGGCGCCGUGCGUGUGCGGGCCAGGGGAGCGCGAGCGCGUACAGGGGAGGAACGGGCGCGCGGAGCUUCGGGCGAGUCGGUCGCAGCAUCCUACGGCGUCAAAUCGAAGAGGAGAAGGGGAGUUUGGACGUGGUGCUCACCUAGGAGCACACGGCGGCUCGGCGGGAGGUUUAGGAGCAGCAGGCGGUCGAAGUGGAGGAAGCCCGCCGUCGUAGUAGAGGAGGCAGACGGCGCGGUGGCGUUCCGAGGUGGUAGGGGUCGGGGCGGUGCUGCGGGGCCGUCCCGGUCCGAUCUCGUCUACGAGGAGGAGGAAGGCGUCCGCGAUGNNN